rnacentral:rRNA from 1 species
UACGUAGGGGGCAAGCGUUAUCCGGAUUUACUGGGUGUAAAGGGAGCGUAGACGGCAGCGCAAGUCUGGAGUGAAAUCCCAUGGCUUAACCAUGGAACUGCUUUGGAAACUGUGCAGCUGGAGUGUAGGAGAGGUAAGCGGAAUUCCCAGUGUAGCGGUGGAAUGCGUAGAUAUUGGGAAGAACACCAGCGGCGAAGGCGAUUCACUGGACUGUAACUGACACUGAGGCACGAAAGCGUGGGGAGCAAACAGG